UACGAAGGGGACUAGCGUUGUUCGGAAUCACUGGGCGUAAAGCGCACGUAGGCGGAUGUGUCAGUCAGGGGUGAAAUCCCGGGGCUCAACCUCGGAACUGCCUUUGAUACAGCACGUCUCGAGUCCGGAAGAGGUGGGUGGAAUUCCUAGUGUAGAGGUGAAAUUCGUAGAUAUUAGGAAGAACACCGGUGGCUAAGGCGGCCCACUGGUCCGGUACUGACGCUGAGGUGCGAAAGCGUGGGGAGCAAACAGG
rnacentral:rRNA from 1 species